GCAGCAGUGGGGAAUUUUGGACAAUGGGCGCAAGCCUGAUCCAGCAAUGCCGCGUGUGUGAAGAAGGCCUUCGGGUUGUAAAGCACUUUUGUCAGGAACGAAACGGUGGGGGCUAAUAUCCCCGGGUCAUGACGGUACCGUAAGAAUAAGCACCGGCUAACUACGUG
rnacentral:rRNA from 1 species